CCCACGCUCUGAAGUGCCGACCUCUGGCGUUUCUCUUGAGGAGCGCAAGAGGGUUUUCCCAUCUGUAGAGGUGCGCUGCUGCAUUCGAUUCUCUCACACGCUGCGCCAGCUCAGCGGUGUCGCGCGGUGAUGCCACCACCCAAGUUUCUGUGCGCCAAGUGCGGCGCGGAGCGGGCAGCAGUGAAGCGGCCGCGCAACGGGCAGUUGCUGUGUCGUGAGUGCUUUUUCGCCCUCUUCGAGGGUGAGAUUCACGACACCAUUCAAGCGGAGCGCCUCUUUGCGCCUGGCGACGUGGUCGCCUGCGGAGCGAGCGGCGGCAAGGACAGCACCGUCCUCAUUCAUCUGCUCGACACGCUCAGCAAACGACACAACUACGGCAUUCGCAUAGAGCUUGUUAGCGUCGAUGAAGGCAUCGCUGGCUACCGUGACGAUAGCCUUGAAACGGUGAAGCGCAACUCCGCGUGCUACGGCCUCCCUCUUCACAUCCUAUCGUACCGCGACAUCUUUGGCUGGACGAUGGACGAUAUUGUGCGUGUCGUCGGACUGCGCAACAACUGCACCUUCUGCGGCGUGUUUCGCCGCCAGGCCCUGGAAAAGGGGGCAGUGCUGGUCAAGGCAGACAAGAUCGCGACAGGCCACAACGCCGAUGACAUGGCAGAAACCAUUCUCAUGAAUCUCCUCCGCGCCGAUGCGCCGCGGCUGUCACGCUGCACGAGUGCCGUGAGCGCCGGCGAGGGUAUUCUACCACGAGUGAAGCCACUCAAGUACGCAUACGAGAAGGAGAUCGUGCUCUACGCGCACUUCAAGAAGCUGGACUACUUCACCACCGAGUGCACAUAUGCUAAAGAGGCUUUUCGAGGCACUGCCCGCACACUAGUGAAGGAUUUGGAGGCUCUGCGGCCCCGCAGCAUCGCGGACACUGUCUACAGCGGCGAGCACCUGGAGGUGCAGGAGCAGGAGGCGGUGCCGGCGAGUAUGCCAAAGCCCUGCGAGAAGUGCAGUUACCUGACGAGCCAGCGCCUCUGCCGCGCUUGUGUGCUGUUGGAGUCGCUGGCGCGCGGUGACCCCUGCGCAGCACUAACACGAACAACGGUGUGAGGCAAUGCGGGUGCCGAACAGUUCUUCAGCCACCCAUGCAUGACACAGGUAUGUGCUGGCGUUCGCGACAACUGCGUCUUCUCUCGGCUGUGACGAGUGACUUACACUUCCGCUACAAGUGCUCCCUCCGCCCGCUUUUAGUAACAACUCACGAGUAACCAGAAGAAGAAGGGACGAGCUGCAAUUUGCCACAAACACAACAGAGGAAAAAAAAAACGAAAAGAAAAAAGGGAUGAGCUCAUGAGACGCGAUUGUGCCGCGCGUGUGUGCUGAUCAUGCCAGCAGCGCUCCUUUUUUUUGUCUUUCGUUGUUGUGGUGUAGCCGACGCCUGAGGUGAACGCGUCUUUGGCCGGCCUCCCUCUCGCCCUUUCACAGAAAUCGCCAUCCCAGAACCCACACCGAUAGGCGACACAGCUGUAGUAGCUGCCACUCUGCGGCGCUGCCAGAGUUGUGGAGCUUCUCUCCUCCCCUGUCGUUGCCUCUUGCUUCUCACGACCUAUCUGCGCGAUACGUGGGUGUGUCCUUCCUUCACUGCCUCCUUUUCAUCCGACUACCUCUGCUUUUCCUCGCCUGCGCGUCGUCUUUUUCUGUGUUUUCGCGUGCAUCUGCCCCGCAUGCCGCCAUCUGGCCUUCUCGCUUCCGUCGCGAGCUCCUUCUCCACACGGUGUGUGGACGUGCGUGUGCACCUGGCAUUCGUGCCGCAUAUGCUGUGCCCGAAUCAUAG
rnacentral:misc_RNA from 1 species